rnacentral:rRNA from 1 species
CCUACGGGAGGCAGCAGUGGGGAAUAUUGCACAAUGGGGGAAACCCUGAUGCAGCGACGCCGCGUGAGUGAAGAAGUAUUUCGGUAUGUAAAGCUCUAUCAGCCGGGAAGAAAAUGACGGUACCUGAUUAAGAAGCCCCGGCUAACUACGUGCCAGCAGCAGCGGUAAUACGUAGGGGGCAAGCGUUAUCCGGAUUUACUGGGUGUAAAGGGGGCGUAGACGGCAGCACAAGUCUGGAGUGAAAUGCCGGGGCUUAACCCCGGAACUGCUUUGGAAACUGUGCAGCUAGAGUGCAGGAGAGGUAAGUGGAAUGCCUAGUGUAGCGGUGAAAUGCGUAGAUAUUAGGAGGAACACCAGUGGCGAAGGCGGCUUACUGGACUGUAACUGACGUUGAGGCUCGAAAGCGUGGGGAGCAAACAGGAUUAGAUACCCGGGUAGUC